rnacentral:rRNA from 1 species
UACGUAGGGGGCGAGCGUUGUCCGGAGUACUGGGCGUAAAGCGCACGCAGGCGGUCUGCUAAGUUUGGAGUGACAGUUGGUGGCUUAACUGCCAAAGUGCUUCGAAAACUGACAGACUUGAGGGCUUCAGAGGGACACGGAAUUCCGGGUGGAGUGGUGAAAUGCGUAGAGAUCCGGAGGAACACCAAAGGCGAAGGCGGGUCUCUGGACAGUUCCUGACGCUGAGGCACGAAGGCCAGGGGAGCAAACGGG